UACGUAGGGUGCAGGCGUUGUCCGGAUUUAUUGGGUUUAAAGGGUGCGUAGGCGGCUUUGUAAGUCAGUGGUGAAAUACUCUAGCUUAACUAGAGGGGUGCCAUUGAUACUGCGGAGCUUGAGUACAGAUGAGGUAGGCGGAAUUGACGGUGUAGCGGUGAAAUGCAUAGAUAUCGUCAAGAACACCGAUAGCGAAGGCAGCUUACUGGGCUGUAACUGACGCUGAUGCACGAAAGUGUGGGGAGCAAACAGG
rnacentral:rRNA from 1 species